UCACAGGUCAUUCGGACUCACGGAGCGCAGCGAAGGAGAGAUCUGUCCAGACUGGGGACAGGGUGAAGAACGGAGCUGCUAAGAAGACCGGCAGGAGCAGCCACGAUGGCGGGUUUGCUGGGCCGGGAGGAGCAGAGAGCUCUCUGAUUCAUCCCUCUGCCUCCAGGACCAUCCUCCUGCUUGGGAAGGAAAGGGAAGAGCAUCUCUCAAGCCCCGUCUUAGGAUCUGGGUGGUCCCGGAGAGUCAGAGGGAAGCCCAUACGGAAAGAACAUCAGUUGGGAGUUAGUAGUCCCGGGUUCUAGGCCAAGAUCGGCCACUAGCUGCCCGUGUGACCUUGGGCAGAAGAAAUCAUCUGUUACAGUGCUGGCCCAAAGGAGCGGCGAAAAGACGUCUCAAGUUUCAGGAUCUGCUCAGAGGUUGUUGGUUUGUCUGCAAAGAUCUUCCCAAACAGAAGGAUGGUGGGUAGAGCCCGGGCCUGGGAGUCAGAAGUGCCCGCGUUCUCAUCCCACUUCCACCACUU